ACGCAAUAGAUACCCGGGUAGUCCACGCCGUAAACGAUGUGGAGCCCGGCGCUGGGCGGUGAUUGUGCUGCUCGGUGCCCUAGCUUACGCGAUGACUCCACCGCCUGGGGGGUACGGCCGCAAGGCUAAAACUCAAAGGAAUUGACGGGGGCCCGCACAAGCAGCGGAGCGUGUGGUUUAAUUCGACGUAACACGCAGAACCUUACCUAGGCUUGACAUGCCACUGCACGGGAGGGAAACCUCUCAGCCUUCGAGGGUGUGGCACCGGUGCUGCAUGGCUGUUGUCAGCUCGUGUCGUGAGAUGUUGGGUUAAGUCCCGCAACGAGCGCAACCCUUGCCCCGUGUUACAGGUGUCACGGGGGACUGCCGUGGUGUUACUACGGAGGAAGGCGGGGAUGACGACAAGUCCGCAUGGCCCCUACGUCUAGGGCGACACACACGCUACAAUGGCGGGAGGAGAGUGCUGCCACUGGGCAACCAGGCGCAAAUCACCAAGACCAGCCGCAGUGCAGAUGUGGGGGCUGCAAC
rnacentral:rRNA from 1 species